rnacentral:lncRNA from 1 species
UUAUACUGUAACUUUUGGUCAUGAAUGGACCAGCUAAAAAAGGUUAAAAAAUGUCUGAAGCCAUCAAGAGAAUAUGACACCCACUUAGUGCAGGUGUAAUUUUUAAAAGUUUGCAUUUAAUGUCUUUAACAUAUUAAAGAAAUGCACUUCGAAAUAACUGUGUAGAGACCUAAAAAGCUUUUAAAUUUAGAAAAAUAUCAUUUUAUGACAAGACCGCUUUUCCUGUUUAGGUAGUAAAAGUUUU